AGAUCCGGCCCGCCCAGGCCCGAGUGCUGUAGCCGCCCGUAAGCCGCCACCACCAGCGCCCGACCCCGAGCUCCUCCUCCCGUGCGCCUCCUCCCCUGCCUCCCUAGCGCGUCGUCCGGCGACCGGCGCCGUCGUCGGCGACCACCCAGGUCACGCCGCCGCUCCCCUGCCUUCUCUCUUUCCCCUCUCUCUCUCUCUAAUCUCCUUUUAUCUCCUUCUCUCCAGGAGCUCAGCGCCAGGGCCAUGGAUGCCCAGUCCUCGAGCUCGAGGUUCGAACGCCGCCACGUGACCUCCACCGGCCAGAUCCGGCGCCUCCCUCCGGGAUCUGCGCGCCCUCCACCUCCUCUACCCGAUCCGGGGCCGCCCAACCCGCCAUGACCUCCACCAUGGAGCUCCUGUAGCUCGUCCCCUGCCUCCUGUUCCUGUGCUCGAGGGAGACGCGCCUCCAGCGCAGUGAGCACAAGGCCCAGCCGUGCCAAGGCCUACCCCGACCACCUCUGCGUCCAGCCGGCAUACCCUACGUGAUGCUCGACCCGGUGCGCCAGCCGCCAACCGACGCCAGAUCGCAGCACCCUUCACCACCGUUCCACCUCAGCUCCUCCUCUCAUCCGUGCCCCCGAGCUCCUCGCUAUGCGCCGCCCUGGAGGGCACGCGCUCGCCAGCCGGUCGUCGUUGCACUCGCAGGCGACCUCGCCGUCCCCUCUGCACUGCCCUCCACCUCAACUGAUGAUUUAGCUGGUUAUAGCUUGUGGAUGUUCUCUGUUGUUUUUUGCACACAAGGUGUUUGUGUGUUUGUCCGAGCCAAUGUUCAUGAGCUUUAUCUUUGCUAUAAAUGACAUGGCUGAGAAAGUCCCUUCAAUGAAAGGAGGAGUAUAGUCUUGGCCAUGGCUGGGAAGGAAGGAGAACAUGUAAAUUGAGGAUUUUUCAGAGAGAUCGGGACUGCUUGAUUUAUCAGUGGACUGGUGUGCUGGUUGAUUAGGAUCUUUCAGAGAGAUCAUGGUUGCUUGAUUAAUCAGAGAGAAACUGGAUCAGUACUUGGGAGUUGGGACUGGUGUGCUACGGUUGCUUGAUUAAUCAGAGAGAAACUUAUCAUAAUUUAUGAUUUCCUUUUCUUGAUUUGGAGCAAGUGUCUUUGCUGGAGUCAGCGUCCUUGUGGUUGAUCUCAUAUACAUGAGGAUUACCCGAGUCAGCUCCUUGUGGUUGAUCUCAUAUACAUGAGGAUUAUCCAAUUAUUAAAGCACAUACAUUGGAGUUGAAAUAUAGGCGGGUUGUGUACACGGGGUACAUGUACGUGAUGUAAACAAAACCUAUAUAACUCAGGGAAUCGGUACUACAAGAGAGCUUCAAGCUGACGGCCAAUAGAUAUGGAAGACAUGACUUGAUGGAGAAAUCAGGAUUCGAACAGAUGGUAGUUUGCAGACUGAUGAGUUGGUUCCAGUAACAUCACAUGUCAAGGAUACCUCUCUCCACUUAACAAUCAAUUUUUUUUAAUGAUGAUGUUCAGAGAAGUGCGUUUAAUUUCUGUCGCAGUGGGAUGUUGUGAUUAGUUCAGUUUUGCUUGAUCUAUUUCGAGUUAAUUCCUUUUUGUGAUGUGGUGUUAGGGAACAUACAUUCUGCUCUCUUGUUCUUCAGCUUGGGGUGUCGGCAGCUACCUAUUACUACUAGGGAGUCUUAUUUCGGACGGAAAGAAAAUCCAAUAUUGGUUUUUAUCCAUUUGUAUGCCUGCGUUAGCCUUAUGAAGCACAAAGGAUGUCCCAGUGAUCAGUCACGGAUGAUACUUGGUGUAUUCUUACUAGGCUAAUGGGCAAAUACUCGAAUAACUGAAUCACCUGCAAUCUUUCUUUUAUUGUAACGGCGGUGUUAUAUCUGCAACAACAGUUUGUAAUUUUUUAUCUAUAAUUGUGAAUAUACAUCUUGGUAGCUAUAAUUGAUCAAUCACGGAUGAUA